rnacentral:rRNA from 1 species
UACGUAGGUGGCAAGCGUUAUCCAGAAUUAUUGGGCGUAAAGAGCGCGCAGGUGGUUAAUUAAGUCUGAUGUGAAAGCCCACGGCUUAACCGUGGAGGGUCAUUGGAAACUGGUUGACUUGAGUGCAGAAGAGGGAAGUGGAAUUCCAUGUGUAGCGGUGAAAUGCGUAGAGAUAUGGAGGAACACCAGUGGCGAAGGCGGCUUCCUGGUCUGCAACUGACACUGAGGCGCGAAAGCGUGGGGAUCAAACAGG